rnacentral:siRNA from 1 species
GUAGAAAAGGUGUCUAUUCCCUA